rnacentral:rRNA from 1 species
CUUUUGUGGGGUGCUCGAGUGGCGAACGGGUGAGUAACACGUGAGUAACCUGCCCUUGACUUUGGGAUAACUUCAGGAAACUGGGGCUAAUACCGGAUAGGAGCUCCUGCUGCAUGGUGGGGGUUGGAAAGUUUCGGCGGUUGGGGAUGGACUCGCGGCUUAUCAGCUUGUUGGUGGGGUAGUGGCCUACCAAGGCUUUGACGGGUAGCCGGCCUGAGAGGGUGACCGGCCACAUUGGGACUGAGAUACGGCCCAG